rnacentral:lncRNA from 1 species
AAGAAUUUUGUUGUUUGUGUAACUUUGAAGGAAGAAGUAAAUGGUCAUAGUCGAGAAUGCAAAAUGGCAAUACUAUGGGAGAGGACCUCAUGGAAAUACUAAUUGCAGUGAAGCCUACAUUGAUACUUGUUAGGAUUGUGCUACUCCUUUGUCACUCAAGACUAAGAGCCAUUACUAGGUUCCAGACAACAUAAGCUAAUUCUGGCUAGAAUUUAUUGAUGAAGACUCAGAUCUUGAAAUCUGAAUUUAAAACAACCAGCUUUUGGAUGAGCCAGACCAAGGACCCCCAGGGACCUUAGAAGCAGAAGAUAAUGGACCUUUUCUAUAGAACAUUGGACUCUUUGUUUCUCACCUUUAGUGGCCUGAUGUCAAAUGGGUCAUCUUAGUCAAGAAGGCAGGCAGGACCAUGUAUUACAAGCCUAAUUGCUGGGGAUUUUUCUGUAUCUGAAGCAAUUAUAGGCAAAGGGAAUGUUUAGAAGUAAUAAAAUUUUAAGACUUUAAGGGUGAAUGACAGAUAAACUACACAUAUUUAAAGUAUAUAAUUUGGUAUAUUUUGACAUGUGUGUAUACACACCAGGAAACUAUCACCAUAAUGAAGAAAAUGAAGAUAUCCAUAUCUCUGCUGGUUUCCUUUCGUCCUUUUUUCUUUCUUCUCUCUCAGUCCUGUGUCCCUCUUCCUGUACCCAGGCAUCAGCUGACCUGCUUCUGUCAUUGUGGAUUAGUUUGCACUUUCUAGAAUUUUACUUAAAUGGGAUCAUAAGUUCUUUUCUGACUUUUUUCAUUCAGUGUAAUUAUUUUGAGACUUAUCCAUGCUGUAGUAUUUAUCAGUACCUUAUUGCUUUUUAUGGGUGAUUAAUGUUCCAUUGGCUGGCUAUACUAUAGUUUAUUCAUUAAGCUGUUGAUGACAUUAGGGUUCUAGUUUGAGGCUAUUACUGAUAAAGUUGGUAUGAAUAUUUACAUGCAAGUGUUUUCUUUUAGACAUUUGUUUUCAUUUCUCUUGAGUAAAACCUAGGAGUAGAAUGGCCUGGUAAUCCUGUAGGUGGGUGUUUUACUUUUUCAUCAACUGCCAAGAAGUUUUUCAAAGUGGUUGUAUAAUUUUCUAUUCCUACUGGCAACAUGUGAGAGUUCUGGUUCUCUAUCAUCACUAGCACUUGGUUAUAUCCAGGACUUACUUUUUUUUUAUUAAGUUUAUUGGUACAUUUUAGGUAUACAAUACAGUUACUUUCA